CCAAUAGCGUAUAUUAAAGUUGUUGCAGUUAAAAAGCUCGUAGUUGAAUUUCGGGGUUAGUAGGUUGGUCAUGCCUCUGGUAUGUACUGGUCUCACUGAUUCCUCCUUCCUGAUGAGCCGUAAUGCCAUUAAUUUGGUGUUGCGGGGAAUUUGGACUGUUACUUUGAAAAAAUUAGAGUGUUUAAAGCAAGCUAACGCUUGAAUACAUUAGCAUGGAAUAAUGAAAUAGGACGUUCGAUCCUAUUUUGUUGGUUUCUAGGAUUGACGUAAUGAUUAAUAGGGAUAGUUGGGGGCAUUAGUAGUCAAUUGUCAGAGGUGAAAUUCUUGGAUUUAUUGAAGACUAACUACUGCGAAAGCAUUUGCCAAGGAUGUUUUCAUUAAUCAAGAACGAAAGUUAGGGGAUCGAAGACGAUCAGAUACCGUCGUAGUCUUAACCAUAAACUAUGCCGACUAGGAAUCAGACGAUGUUAAUUUUUUAAUGACUCGUUCGGCACCUUACG
rnacentral:rRNA from 1 species